UAUGUUUAUGACGGUGCGAAGUAGCA
rnacentral:sRNA from 1 species